rnacentral:tRNA from 1 species
GCCAGUGUGGCGUAGUGGUUUGACCAUUAGACUAUGACUCUGAAGACCAGGGUUUGAAUCCCCACUCAGCCA